rnacentral:rRNA from 1 species
AUGACGUCAAGUCAUCAUGGCCCCUAUGUCCAGGGCUACACACGUGCUACAAUGGGCGAUACAGAGUGACGCGAAGCCGCGAGGUGGAGCAAAUCGACAGAAAAUCGCUCUCAGUUCGGAUUGGAGUCUGAAACCCGACUCCAUGAAGGUGGAAUCGCUAGUAAUCGCGCAUCAGCAUGGCGCGGUCGAAUACGUUCCCGGGCCUU